rnacentral:rRNA from 1 species
UACGUAGGGGGCAAGCGUUAAUCGGAAUUACUGGGCGUAAAGCGUGCGCAGGCGGCUAUGCAAGACAGAUGUGAAAUCCCCGGGCUCAACCUGGGAACUGCGCUUGUAACUGGCAAGCUGGAGUGUGGCAGAGGGGGGUGGAAUUCCACGUGUAGCAGUGAAAUGCGUAGAGAUGUGGAGGAACACCGAUGGCGAAGGCAGCCCCCUGGGCUAACACUGACGCUCAUGCACGAAAGCGUGGGGAGCAAACAGG